GUGGACUUCUGUUUCCGUGUCGUUUGGAGAUGUUUAACCGUGACGUGUGGCAGGACUGUACGCCACAUGGCAGCAGAUGAAUCCGUACCUCCCAAAGGAAGACUCGGAGAAGACGUGUCGUGCCAACCCUUUGUUAACCCACAGAAGACAAAGCCAUGCUUUUAUUUUAUGUCAUUUCUUGGAGGUGACCAUACCUCCGAUUACACCUGGUUUUAGGUAGACAUGUUAACAAAAUGCCAGCAUAAAAAGAAUGAGGUUGUCCACAUGGAAACCAGCUGCCGUCCAUUGAGAAUCACUCUCGGGCCAUGAGCGUGGAAGGUACUGGUGUAGGGAGCCAGGCUACUGAUGCACGUGGAAACACAACCUUGCACCGACAGGGGGGAGCUCCGCUGUGAAGCCACCCAGGGGCUCACCACUCCCCUGGCCACUCCAGAUCUCGAACAAAGAGAGCCAGAUGGAGGACCAAGGCGUCCACCUGCCUCAGCGGCAGGGGAAGGGGGCCAAGAAAUUCAGCAAGAGGAGAAAAGCAGCUGAGAGGGUCUUGAGAGAGAGUCUAGGACUCAGAUGACCAGAGAAAAGGUUCUCAGGGAAAAAGAGUGGGUGUGGGGGGUGACAAAUGCUGAGUGUUUGGGGACACAGCUAGCUGCCCAGGGAACCCCGAGGUGACUAAAGGGGAAGCUCUGUGAGAAGCAGAGGAAGUAAAGGAGACCCCAGUGGACACUCUGGACACCUGAGGCUCGGGUGAGCUCCGCACCCUGAGGGCUCAGAGACUGUAUCCAAGACCUUUCCAAAUGUCACCCUCUGCGCCUGUUCAUGUGGCUGGUUCUGAAUCAUGUCCCUUUCUAUAAAGCUCUGACAGUAAGUGUGGGGCUUCCUAUACCCUGUGAAUUAUUCUAGUAAGUGAUUGACCUGGAGAGGGUCACGGGGACUCUUGGAUUUGCAGUCACAUGGUCAGAAGGGCAGGUGGCCUGGGGAUCUCUGAGCUUGUAGCUGGUAGUCUGAGUGACAGGAACCUACCUGUGGACUUGACCUAACUCUGCAUGGCUAAUGCCACGGUUGCACUGUAGGCCGGUGAAACCUGGGCGCCUGUUUGUGCCUGGUGUCCAGUCCCGCGUGACAGGUGCCUAUCAGCAUACCUGAGAAUAAGCAGCGAAUUAAGAAGUCAAAGUGGCAUCCUGCAGGGUUCUGGCCCACGGGAGGGUAGAGGCUUCUGUUCACCGUGAGGCCUCAAGGUCUGAGCACUUCUUGCUCCCAGAGGAUCAUGGGAGCUGAGCCAGGUGGGGUUUGGGGCCCAACAACCUCCCUCCUUGCUGUUGAGUCUCAGGAUGGCGUUUCUUGUCUUUUUCUUUUUCCUGCAGCCUGCACUGGUGUGUCACUUCCCGACAGAGUCGCCCUAGAGAGCUCUUGGUAUGUCUUUGUCAUCGCUCAAAGUCCUGCAAAGAACAGAGUGUCCCGGCCCAUCUCCACGCCUGGCUUCUUGUUCUGUCCCUUUCUGCUCCCAGCCAGCCCGGGGCGCAAGCCGACUGUUCAGAAGAGGGAUGAUUAGCUACCAGCGUUGCUUCUGAAACUGCCUCUCCGAACGUCCUCGAACGUCCUCCCUCCUCCGCUGUUUAUUGUUUGCCCACUAUCAAAUGUUCCCCCAGCUGUGGCAGCCCAAGUUCAAAGCCGGCCCCUGGCAACAGAGCGUGUCCCUGGAGGGUUUUCCGCAGAGCUGAUAAAUGCCCACGUGUGGCUCUUGCCAGCAGCUGCCCCCUCUGUUGGGUUCUUCAAGGCAAAUCAGAAUCUGCCCGAGAGAAAUCAUAGAUCUCAGCAUUGCACCGUGCUCUCAGCCUUGGGCCGCGCAGACUUGCUCCUGCAAAGCCAGGAGAGCCAGAGUGGUGUCCCCGUGGGCCCUGCUGAGGGUCUUGUGUAGUCUACCCCGGGCAAGGCAGAGGCCUGCAGGGUGGUGAGCAGCCUGGCCCUGACCUCACGGCAAGCAGCCUCCAUCUCCUGUGUGUUACCCGAUCCCACAAACUGACAAGCAGUAAAGAAGGACUCCCGCGCGGGAAGCUGGGGGCCGGGUAGAGUCUGUCAGAAUGGAAUUUUUCGGGGUCAGACGCAGCUCACUGAAGACUGCAAUUAGUGGGCAGACAGAAAAGCCUCGUCAGCUGGGGCCUGGCUUGUUUUGCAUCUGCUGAGCGGUGCUCAUCGCCUCAUGGAACAACACAGACGCGGGGGGGGGGGGGACUCGGGGCCACACACCUGAUACACACCCUGCGGGGACCGCGAUGGCCAGACCCUCUGUGGAGAUGGGGAGGGAGGUCGGAGGGAAUCGCCUGGCCCAGAUCAAGCUCCUGUCUGGCCGCAGAGGCAGCUGCCCCGGGUGGCCGUCCCGUGGGGUGGCCUCCACCAGCCCUGGUCCCUGAGACACUGCGAUGCAAUUAGUCAUGACAGCUUCCCCCGGAAGCGGGGGAGGGGGAAAUUCCGACUUAUUGUCAGCGGUCAUUAGUGGAGAAAGUGCUCAGCCAUAAUUCCAAGAGGGGCCACCUUGAAGACACUGGCUAUGUUCCUCCCCCCUCUAAAUUCCGGAUGUGAAUUGAAAGCACAGAAGCAAUUGCAGGACGGGCCCGAGGCCAAACUCCCUUUGCUGGGUGGAAUCAUAACAAGCAGAUUUUCUUGGUGUAGAAGUGGACUUGGAAGAGAAAUCGAGAACAGGUCGACAGGCAUGGUAGCUGCAGCGUUGACCAUGUGAGGACAGAGGGUCCUGGUGGCCCGUCACUGGGAUAGGUGACAUCCUCCAAGGUACUCACUGUGUAUUUCAUCCUCCGUGGAGGGGGGGGGGCAGGGCUGUGCUCGCUCACUUUGGACCCAGGCAGGCAUUUGCUGCCACCUCAUUCAAGAGAAGAUGGCAGAGGUGACCACCUGUGCCUUUCAUAACUAGAUCCUGAAUGUCCUUCCAGUUUCUGCUUGGUCUCACGGCUCUUUUGCUCUUACAACAGUUGUUCUUGAAACCCAGCUGCCAUCUUGUGAGGAAGCCCAGGCCACAAGAAGAGGCCACGUGGAGGUGUCUCAGCCCCAAUUCAACCAUCAGCAUAGACCUCCAGACCUGAGGGACAGGCCUUCAGAGUGCCCACAGAGCAAAGCAAGCCCUCUGCUGCUCCCUGGCUUGACCUCCUGGCCCAAAGGAACCUCGAGCAACAUAAAGGACGAUCGUUGUGUGAGCAUCCGAGAGUGGGUAACGUGUUGCACCGAAGGGACUCUGACUCAGGCCUCUUAUCUAGUGGGUGCCCGCUGACCACAUGCUUGAGGGUGACUUCCUUUUGUAGGUUGUUAAAGGAUAAUAUCCAGAGCCCAGUGCAGGGCAGGGAUUCAGGGUUGCUUUAUUUGGCUCCAUGGAUAGUUCUCCAAAGUCAGG
rnacentral:lncRNA from 1 species